rnacentral:rRNA from 1 species
CCUACGGGUGGCAGCAGUGGGGGAUAUUGCACAAUGGGGGGAACCCUGAUGCAGCGACGCCGCGUGGAGGAUGAAGGUUUUAGGAUUGUAAACUCCUUUUGUGAGAGAAGAUAAUGACGGUAUCUCACGAAUAAGCACCGGCUAACUCCGUGCCAGCAGCCGCGGUAAUACGGAGGGUGCAAGCGUUACUCGGAAUCACUGGGCGUAAAGAGUGCGCAGGCGGGCUUGUAAGUCAGAUGUGAAAUCCUGUAGCUUAACUACAGAACUGCAUUUGAAACUAUGAGUCUAGAGUGUGGGAGAGGUAGGUGGAAUUCUUGGUGUAGGGGUAAAAUCCGUAGAUAUCAAGAGGAAUACUCAUUGCGAAGGCAGCUUACUAAACUGUGACUGACAUUGAUGCUCGAAAGUGUGGGUAUCAAACAGGAUUAGAUACCCCUGUAGUC